ACAGCGUGAGGACCGGCGUGUCUCUGGCCGAGCAGACAUUCGGCCAUGAUGGCGAGUGACGGCGACAUCUCUCAGGACAUGGAGCUUCUGCUUAGGUUUUUCCCUCCCAGAAUUUCCCUUGCAGCCUCUUGAGUGUAAUGCUGUGAAUGCAGUUACAUUUUCCUGUGAAUUGUAUGCUGGCUUCAAGCUGAUUCCUUGGUGACUAAGCACUUCUGGAGCAUUCUGGAUUCAUUACACACCAUUCAAAGGAAGAAUUUCAGUGGACAAUUCAUGAACCCAUAUAUAAUAUUCAAUGGCCUGGAAGCACAAGC